GCCGGGGUAGCUCAGCCUGGUAGAGCGCUCGGCUCAUAGGUCCUUCGAGGACUGAGAAACCGAGAGGUCCCGGGUUCAAAUCCCGGCCCCGGCGCCA
rnacentral:tRNA from 1 species